rnacentral:rRNA from 1 species
AGCCGCAGUGAAAAGGCCCAAGCAACUGUUUAUCAAAAACACAGGCAUCUGCAAAAUCGUAAGAUGAAGUAUAGGUGCUGACACCUGCCCGGUGCUGGAAGGUUAAGAGGAGAGCUUAGCGCAAGCGAAGGUUUGAAUUGAAGCCCCAGUAAACGGCGGCCGUAACUAUAACGGUCCUAAGGUAGCGAAAUUCCUUGUCGGGUAAGUUCCGACCUGCACGAAAGGUGUAAUGAUUUGGGCACUGUCUCAACGAGAGACUCGGUGAAAUUAUAAUACCCGUGAAGAUGCGGGUUACCCGCGACAGGACGGAAAGACCCCAUGGAGCUUUACUGCAGUUUAAUAUUGGGUAUCUGUCAAGCAUGUACAGGAUAGGUAGGAGCCGGAGAAGAUAGGACGCCAGUCUUAUCUGAGGCGCUGUUGGGAUACUACCCUUGCUUGACGGAUGCUCUAACUCAGGCCUGUGAUCCAGGCCGAGGACAGUGUUUGACGGGCAGUUUGACUGGGGCGGUCGCCUCCUAAAGUGUAACGGAGGCGCCCAAAGGUUCCCUCAGAAUGGUUGGAAAUCAUUCGCAGAGUGUAAAGGUAAAAGGGAGCUUGACUGCGAGAGAGACAACUCGAGCAGGUACGAAAGUAGGGCUUAGUGAUCUGGUGGUACCGUAUGGAAGGGCCA